AUAUGUGAAAUAUUAUCAUUUUAAUAUGUAAUCAAUAUAAAAAUUAGAUAUUUAAUGCUUUUUUAUACUAAGUCGCUGAAAUCCAAUGUAUAUUUUACAGUUAACAGCACACCUCAAUUCCAACUAAACACAUUUCAAGUGUUACACAGCCACGUGUGCCUACCAUACUGGACAGUGCACAUCUAGAUGACUGAUUUUUUAAGAUCUACCAGCAGCAUAGUAUCAGAAGAAACACUGGACUUGGAACCUAGAAACUUGGGCCCUAUCAGCUGGGAGCUAUGUGAUGGAUACUGGUCUUGUUUUAUUAACUUCUCUAGGUCUCAGUAUCCUUUAAAAAGAAAAGUUUAGAACAAAUAGCAUACAGCUUGGAAAUAACUCUAAAGUUAUGAAAUAAUCAUCUUAAGUACACUGGAAUAUACUUUAGGGUACUAACUCUUAAACUAAGGAUAAGAUGCAAAUUAACUUCACAGAAAAACGUUUAUUGGUUGCAUUUUACAAACACACUAAAAUAUAAGAAAUUGCUAAUCAUUUUACUAUAAUUUUGUUUCUUCAGGUUUCUACUUAGAGGGAAUUAACAGUUCUUCUAAAAGAUACAACAAGUAGCCAAAUUAAUUUAAAGUGAUUUAAGGAAAAGUUUAAAACAUGAUCUGGAGAAUAAUUUAUAACAUCACUAAAUAUACUGUUGAAUUUACCAAUUUUUAUUGAGCAUAUUAAAAGAUGAAGAUGAGUGAGACUGGGUGUUUUCCCUGGUAGGUGCUUAUAAUUCAGUAAGCAGGGUAAAAUAUUACAGUUUGAGUAAGAGGACUAUGCCUUAUUAACUAAUGAUCCCCAGAACCUAGCCACCACUGCUGGCAUAUGACAGGGUACUCAACAUAUGUAUGACUGAAUGCAAUACAAAAGAAGUAAAAUACGAUACCAUACUAUAAGAGCUGUAAGAAAGGAACAAAUCAUUGUGGAAGUUAAAAGGAAGAGAGGGCACAUCUAUUUGGAGGUGGGAGAUGGAGGUGGGAAAGGGAAAUAAGAAAAGGGAUCAGGAAGGAGAUAACAUUUAAAAUGUAUUUUGAAGACUAGGUUGGAGCUCACAGGCAGGAAAAAAGAAGAGAAAGGGAACAGAAUGAGGAAGAGGUUAUAGAAGGAAGAAACUAAAGCAGGCUUGGGGAUAAGGGCAGGAAGAAGAGCUGAGGCAUAGUAAUAUAAAGUUAGGUUAGUACUUGAGUGAUAAUUCAAGUUCUUCACAAUAUAAGCACUAACUUAUCAAUUGAGAAAAGUGUAUCUAUUAAGCACAGGCCUUUUGAAGUGUCUGAAUAAAGAAUAUUUUGGAUUUAUAAAAAUGUCAGGGAAUAAAGGGUCUCAGUAUUGAGGGAAUACAUAUAAUUGUUUACAUGAGGGGUCAGGCAAUAUUUUCUGUAAGUGGCCAAGUAGAAAAUAUUUUUAGACUUUGGGAGCCAUAAGGUCUCUAUUACAACUAUUUAAUUCUACUAUUAUAGCUGAAAAGAGGUCAUAGACACUACAUGAAUGAACAUACCUGUGUUCAAAUAAAACUUACCCCCUUAUAAGUAUGUGGCCUUGUUAAUGUUAUAAUAUCUCUAAACCCUCAACUUCCUUGAACUGUAAAAUGAGAAUAACUGUUCAUAGAGUUGUAGUAAGAAUUUAAAUUAGAAUGAAAAGCACUUAGCAUAGUGACUAGCUCAUGACUUGGUGUUUAUGAAUGUUAGCUUUAUGUUAUGAUGAUACCCAUUAACUAAGUCUGAUAUAUAGGCAUUAAAAAUGUUUUCUAGAAAGCAGCGGAAUCUGUAAAUCUUGUUCUUCAUUGUACUGAUUCUCUACAGUACAAUCUUUUGUGUCAAGGGAAGUGAUGGUCAUGACUUUUUUAGAAAACCAUUUAAAAGUAAGGGAAAUUAGAAAACGAAGGAGGAGAUGAAAGGUAGAUUGUUUAUUUUCAGAACAGUUCCCUUCGUGUACAAAUUAUCUUUUUUUUGUAUGGUAGUUUUACCCUAACCUCCUAUUUCUAGACAUCAUUGAAAGGCAAACUAAUGCUCAUAACUGGAUUGCCAGAUUUUACUAUCAACACAGAAUUAUCUAUAUCAACAAAAACAAAUGUUUCCUUCUAGAGCAUAUGAUGAAUAAGGCACUGGGUUAGACAGUAAAGAAAUAAAGAUAUAUAUGAGCUGGUUCAUGGGCUUGACAUUCUUAAGUCUAUAGUUUUUUAUCAUUACUCAAUCCAACUUAUUUUAAAGAUGAAGAAACAUGUUUAUCAAUGGCUAUAGUGAAACAUGACUUGCUCAAGCUCUCCUGUGGGGCAAUUACAGAAUGAGAAUCCUAGUUUCUAGCCUCUUAAUCCAAUAGUCUUUCAUGUUAGUGCUUCUGAACCAUUUCUUUUCAUUGCCUUAACCUACCAGAACACUGGUUCACGUAACCUUCAAUAGCACUAGCUUACAACAAAAUGAUGUUUGGUGUGGAGGGGAAGCGGGCAUCCGUUUGUAUGCCCCCCACCACUAUGCACCUACCCAAGAGAGCAAAAUCAGAAUAGAGGGCAUGCUGGGCAAUUUGGAAAAGAUCCUCCACCCCAUGAUUCUGUACCAUUUCAAUGGUGUUUGUUUAGACUUGCUGCCACGAUAGCUGCAGAAACAGGACUUAUCUAUGCUAAAUGUUAAAUAAAUGAGGAAUGAGGAAUAAUCAUUGAGGACUUCCCCAGGAGAUGAAAGUGGCUUCAAAUUCUUGAGUAGAGGAAAAUAUUUUGGAAAGUCAAUAAUUUCACCACAUAGCAAGUGUCCAUUAUAUAGGUUUUGUGUUAUGUUGCUUUGUUUCCAGUAUGUACCUAACUCUUGCUACAUUGUAGGUUAGAAUUCCUGAUCCACUGUUUUUCUGUUUUUGUUUUUUUAAUUUUAUCUUGGCCGUGCCACAUGGCUUGUGGGAUCUCAGCUCCCCAACCAGAGACUGAACCCGAGCCACAGCAGUGAAAGUGCCAAAUCCUAACCACUCAACCACCAGGGAACUCGCCUGAUCCACUGGUAGCUUACAGUUUUAUAAGAUCUGCACUACAAACAAUGUUAAAUGAAGUUCUUCAGGCUGAAGGAAAGAGACACCAGAUGGAAAUCUGUAUCUAUAAAGAAGAAUGAAAAAUACCAGAAAUGGUAUUCUCAAUUAACUUUCGAAACAACUCUAAGGACUUCCCUGGUGGUGCGGUGGUUAAGAAUCUGCCUGCCAAUGCAGGGAACACGGGUUCGAGCCCUGGUCCGGGAAGACACCACAUGCCACA